rnacentral:rRNA from 1 species
CGGGGUGAGUAAUGUAUGGGGAUCUGCCUGAUGGCGGGGGAUAACUACUGGAAACGGUAGCUAAUACCGCAUAAUGUCUGCGGACCAAAGCGGGGGACCUCCGGGCCUCGCGCCAUCAGAUGAACCCAUAUGGGAUUAGCUUGUAGGUAAGGUAACGGCUUACCUAGGCGACGAUCCCUAGCUGGUCUGGGAGGAUGAUCAGCCACACUGGGACUGAGACACGGCCCAG